rnacentral:rRNA from 1 species
ACGAACGCUGGCGACAUGCCUAACACAUGCAAGUCGAACGAGACCUUCGGGUCUAGUGGCGCACGGGUGCGUAACGCGUGGGAACCUGCCCUUAGGUUCGGAAUAACUCCCCGAAAGGGGUGCUAAUACCGGAUAAUGUCUUCGGACCAAAGAUUUAUCGCCUUUGGAUGGGCCCGCGUUGGAUUAGCUAGUUGGUAGGGUAAAAGCCUACCAAGGCGACGAUCCAUAGCUGGUCUGAGAGGAUGAUCAGCCACACUGGGACUGAGACACGGCCCAGACUCCUACGGGAGGCAGCAGUGGGGAAUAUUGGACAAUGGGCGAAAGCCUGAUCCAGCAAUGCCGCGUGAGUGAUGAAGGCCUUAGGGUUGUAAAGCUCUUUUACCCGGGAUGAUAAUGACAGUACCGGGAGAAUAAGCUCCGGCUAACUCCGUG